ACUCCAUGAUGUGGACAUUUUCGUUGCAAAUCCUUGAAUCUUUCCCAAGCAUCAUAAAGUAUUUCAUUGUCACGCUGCUUGAAGUUAGUGAUGUCAGUUUUUAGCUU
rfam:Corchorus olitorius cultivar O-4 contig20312, whole genome shotgun sequence.